rnacentral:rRNA from 1 species
AAUUAUUAUUAUUAAUUUUUAAUUGGAAGUGAAAUGUUAAAGCGAUUUUAAAUAUAUCUAGUUUUUUUAGAAUUGAAUUUAAUUCAGCUUUAAAAUUAAAAUUUUAUUAAUAUUAAUUUUUAAAUAUAAUUAAUUUUAAAGUAAAUAUGUUCGGGAUAAAUUGAAUAUAUAAAAUUUAUAAAUUUAAAUUAAUUUUAGAUUUAAAAGUAGUUAUAAAAUUAUAUUUCUUUGAAGAAAAUGUUUUAAUUUAUAUAUUAUUAAUAAAUUAAAAAUUUAUUGAAAAAUUUAAUUUUUUUUUAAUUAUUUAUAAAAAUUUAUUUUUAAAUUAUUUUUAAAUAAUAAUAAUGAUUAUAUUAGUAUAAAUAUUUAGUUUGAUUAAUUAAUAAUUUAAUUAAAAUUAAUUUAAGGAAUUAGGCAAAAUAUUUUAAUUUUAAAUGUAUAUUUACCUGUUUAUCAAAAACAUGUCUUAUUGAAUUUAAUAAUAAGUUUGUUCUGCCCAUUGAAUUAAAAUUUAAAAGGCUGCAGUAUAUUGACUGUACAAAGGUAGCAAAAUCAAUAGUUUUUUAAUUGAAAACUUGAAUGAAAGAAUUGAUAAAAUAUAAACUGUCUCAAAUUAAUGAAUUUGAAUUUAAAUUGAAAGUUAAAAUGCUUUUAUGAAUUUAUUAGACGAUAAGACCCUAAGAAUUUUAAAAUAUAAAUUUAUAUAAUAAAUUUUGUAAUUUUUAAAUAUAUGAAUUUAUAUUUUUUUAUUGGGAGGGUAAUUAAAUUUUUUAACUUUAAUUUUUUAUUAA